rnacentral:tRNA from 1 species
UUAAUAGAAGCCAAAACCCCUGAGGCUAUUCACCGUUAAUGAAUAAACUGAUUAUUUCCUAUUAAA